rnacentral:rRNA from 1 species
UACGUAGGGGGCUAGCGUUGUCCGGAAUCACUGGGCGUAAAGCGCACGUAGGCGGCGUCUUAAGUCAGGGGUGAAAUCCUGGAGCUCAACUCCAGAACUGCCUUUGAUACUGAGAUGCUUGAGUCCGGGAGAGGUGAGUGGAACUGCGAGUGUAGAGGUGAAAUUCGUAGAUAUUCGCAAGAACACCAGUGGCGAAGGCGGCUCACUGGCCCGGUACUGACGCUGAGGUGCGAAAGCGUGGGGAGCAAACAGG